CCACCCCUAAUUUUGUCGGGUUUCUUCGCCCUUCUUCCUCAUUCAGCCUUCUGUGGUUUCUUCGCCCACUCUCCUCAUCUCUCCCAUGGCGCUGCUCUUAACACUUGCCCCUCUCCUCUUCUCUCCCAUGUCAUUACUUCACCUGCCGUUCUUAAUUCCUCUUCCAUCAAAAAACACUAUGGUUUGUUCGCCCUCCUUCCUUUUCGAUCAGAUUGGAACAUCUCCUCAUCUUCUCUUCCAUGGCUUUCUCACUGAUCAUAUGUUCCUGCUUCUCUUCUGGUCUUCGCUCCGUUUAAGCCGAUCUAUCAAGGAAUACAAAAUGAUUGGGCACUUUCUUACUAGAGGACUUGUUAUGAUUUUCGGUUAUGCCUAUCCAGCAUAUGAGUGGAAUAAACCGGAGAUAGAGUAGUUUCGCUUUUGGUGACAAUACUGGAUUUUAGUUGCUCUAAUGACAGUGUUUGAGAGGGUUAGUGACACGUUCAUUUUAUGGCUUCCCAUGUAUAGUGAGGCGAAACUGGCAUUCGUAAUAUACUUGUAUCAACUAGGAAAAAGGGAACAACAUACAUUUAUGAUUCCUUCUUUAAACCAAAUGUUUUAAAGCAUGAGACGGAAAUUGAUCGCAAUUUGAUGGAAUUAAGAAUUAGGGCUGGUGAUAUGACUUACAUGUACGUCAAAAGGCUGUGAACUAUGGUGAAACAAGAAUCUUCGAGAUUUUACAGUACGUCGCAGCACAAUCUACCCCAAGGCCUCGUUCUACCUAGGUAUUAUUUCUCUAAGUCUCAUUCGCCACCACGAAAAUAUCAGUGUGGCAUAUUUUUUAAUUGUCUGCAUUCACUUUAGUGAUGUCUUUGGUUUGUGUUUGUGUAAAAAUGAUUUGCUAAAUCAACAGGUAAAAUAAUAUGAUGAUAUAUAGGAAAUCCACAUGUAAUAUUCAGCAUUUUUUUUAUUAUUCACUUCCUCACUAGCCCCCCUUUGUUUGAGUAACUAUUGUUGAACAAAUUCAUAAUAUUGCCGUUGUGAAAAUCUUCAUAGUUGUUUGAAAGAAUAGAAUUCUGUAAUCUGGUAUAAUCAGUUAUCAGAGUUAUAAACUCCUGUGCUCAAUCUUUUUGCGGUUUCCUCAGUUAUACUUACCAGUCCACAGAAAGUUUAUUAUACUCGAUUUUACUGAACAUUUUUCUGAUGGUCGAAGGUCAGUUCGGAAAUUCAACUUCAAAAUAUCAGUAGCAUGAUUGCAAAAUAAUGGGUUACUGCACUUACUCGGCAUGAGGAAAAAUAGUAAUAUAUGUCAUAUUUUAUAGAUUUAUCAUGAUACUCUUUUCUGUUCAAGUAUCUUUUGUAGUGUUGUAUAUCAUCACGAGUUCAUGAUAGACUAAGGAGAUAAGGGAAGUCUGUAAGCUAAGGUUAUAUGCAGAGGUUUUACAUUUACAGUCUGGGAUUAUAAGGUAAUUGGUUGGAAGACUUGAUCAAAUAUUAUAUCAACUAUCAAUUUGAGUAGUAAGUUGUAGAAUAAGUUGCUAUCUUAAGUGAUGAUUGUGAACGGUUCAUCGUUUUUCCUCCUGGACAUAUAUAUUCAAGCAAACAGGGUAUGCUACUAUCUUAUUCAUAAACUAUAUGGCCAAAACGUGGUCUUAACUCUAAGACUAGGCAUUUAAGGAUGUUAUUGCCAUUAAAUUUAACAUAUUAUAGGUGGAUUGAGAAGGUGGAACAACCCGCCAUGGUACUUAGAGUAGAUACCUCCAACUCCAUACGAUCCAGUAGUUUUACGUGAAGCUUUUGAAAAGGUUUAUUAAAACUGUUGAUUGUCUAUUUUCUCUUAGUUUCAGUGUCACAAUAACCAAACUUCUCCCCUGGAUUUACUACAUGGUUAUUCCGACUUGCUCCUAACUUAAGACCGGGUUUAUACGAUGUGAAGAAUUUUUUCUCUUGUUAUUUUUGAAGAAUAUGAAAUUACCUGUGUUAGAUUUCUACUUCUUGUCUGGUUUACGGUAGACUUAUGUCUUGAGAUUUAUUAACCUACUCUCUUGAUUUCUUUUAAAUCUGUGCUUAAGAGAUUAAUGACAGAUGUCCCACUUGGUGUACUUCUUUCGGGUGGAUUGGGUUGUUGAUGUAGCAUCACGUCACUUGGAAGAAAUGGAAGGAUCUGCCAAUGGGAUUCAUAGCUGCGCUCCUUUUGCAUUGGGCUGAGGUGAAUAUGCCUUUGUACUCUGGAUAUAUAAAAAAAAUCAUCUCCCCUUGGCAGUUCUUAUUCAAGUUAAACCACUAUGCUUAUUAAUAAUGAAACUAGGGGGUGGGAUUUGAUGGUGGGAAUGAGAACUUUUAAUCUCAACUCCUUAAAGUCCCAUCUUUGUUUAAAGGAAUUACAAGUAAAGGGUGGGCCGAGGUGGGAAUGAGUAUUGAUCCAGAGUACGUGGGAUAUGGUAAUUGAAAAUUUCAUUAUAAAUACCCCUUACGGUUUUCAACUCUUUUCUUUCAAUGAAACAUGAUCAACUGAUGUCGAAUCACUUCAAGCUUUUUACUUUACUGCUCAAAUAUGCCUGAUUAAAGAAUUCCUCGCAGUUAAUUGUCAUCUUUUUUAUUUCCCCUUUCUAAUUCGGGGGCUGGAUUUAGAGGGGGGGAAGUGAUAUGAGCAAACUGCACGCACUUACUUCUCACAUACUCUUCAAUAAGGAAGCUCCCUGCUAACUGUCUUAUCUGGCUAAUUCUGCUUGUAUGAAGUUUAAUUCCUAUCAUAAGAGCUACCCUUUUAGUUUAUAAAGAUACUUUACUGUAGUAAAAUAGGUAAUAAGAGAAAGAAGUGAUGCGGCACAAUUAGGUUGCUCUUGGCCAUCCUAGGUCCUAGCAGCAUAAACGUCUUGUUGGAAGAGGAAUAGAAAGAGAAAAAUUACAGGUCAUUGAAAAGGUAAAACAUGAAGUCAAUGGGAGGAUUGAGGAUGAUUAUUGAUAAAUGAAAGGGGGCUGAUGUAUUCUGGUUUUGUUGUCUCAAAAAGUAAUAUGUAACACCAGCAGGUUGGUAGUUUGUUUUUUGGUUUGGGAAAAGGAAUUCAGAUUUUUUUUAUUAGUCUGUUCACUGCAGCACUGAGGGUCUAUAGACCUGUUGGAGUCUCAUCAGUGUUGGUUAAAUAACUUAUGAUCAGUGCUGGUAUUUCUGUGCUCUAACCUGAUGAGGUUCGGCUUUAGGUUUGCUGCUAUAAAAUUUGGUUUUGAUGUAUACAUUUAUUUUCUCUUUUCUAUUGCUGUUUGUAAUUUUAUUUGGUGGUGUAAAUCUAAUAUCUUUGUUUGUUUGUCUGUUUGUAAUGUUAAUUUCUUAGGUUUUGAUGUAACUUAGGCCAACCCAUGUUUGAUUACUCAUAAGGUAAGAUCGUUUUCCUUGUUUAAUCUAUUUAAAAAAAAAAUUAUAGUCUAUUUGGUUCUAUAGUAUUUUUCGAUAGGAUGAAGUAUCUUUAUGAGAUGAUUGUUCUUUAAGCGCUGUGGGCAUAUACAAUUUGUACAAGUUAUUUUUUUGCAGCUACUGAUGUACAAGCUAUUAGAUUUUUUAAGCAAGAAGAGGUAAGCUAGAAUAAUCAUAAAGAUAAUAAUCUAAUUCCUUUAUGUUCUGUUUCCAAUUACCCAAAUAUUAUAAGUUAUAUAAAUUUAGUGCUCAGUGUCAUUCAAUUAAUAUUUAGAUAGAUAAGCCCCUUUUGGUACAAGAUUGUUAAGCCAUUAAACACCAUCUUUAUAUGGAUCUUGAUACAGUUAGCGUAGGAUCAAUAAUUUUUUCUUAUAGUCACACUGCUUUGAUACUAAAACUUCAAAAAUAUGUCCGACCACCAUACAUAGGUGCUUCUAUUUCUCAUAAUGACCUCCAUAUAAGUGCUCUUGUUGCUCCAUAGCAGCUACUGUUGAUUUAUCACCUUGAAAGAAAAGCUAUGGAAAACUAUACACUGUCGAACUUUAGCCCUUUGAUUUCUGAAUACAACACUUGACUACUACAAGUCUACAACGUAGAUUUGGCUUCAAAUAGUUUUAUCUACAAUUGUUAUGACUUUUUUCUUGUGUUUUUAGCCAGUGUUCACAUGCCUCAAGCUUUACAUAAGACUUCUUUUGCGUAACUAAUAAUCACUAAAGCUCAUGCUACAUCCAGCUAUAUGAGUCAUUUUUAUAACCUGUUACUCAAUAUGAUUUGUGUAUUUUCUCUAACUUACCAUUUAAUUUUCUUUUUACUGUUCUCCUGGAACUAAUGAAGAGGUAAGUCGGACUUUUUUUCAUUAAUCUGUUUUGUGUAAAUUACAAUCAUGUGUAACCAAAUGGUUUACUCUUAAUGAGAUGCGUUCUUCUUAGAAGACUUGAUAGGGAAGAGGGAUGUUAGGAUGAGAUCCAACCCCAACACAUUUAAUCCAGAAGACAAAGAUGUAAGAGUUGUGAUAUGGUGCUUCCUGGAACAACACUAUGUUUCUCUUUUUUGUAUUAUUGGAAUGAGUUAGUUCAGCAGGAAUAUGAAAAGAAGACUCUUGUAUUGUGUGUAUAUCAUCCUAUGUAUUGCAUUGUGUAUGCCGUUAUUAAGAAAACCAGAAGUUUUCCUUUCUGUACUCUGUAACAUUUGGUUUGUGUAUCAAUGAAGUAGCUUUCGCCCUAUUGAUUUUA